rnacentral:rRNA from 1 species
GAUGAACGCUGACAGAAUGCUUAACACAUGCAAGUCAACUUGAACUUCGGUUUGGGUGGCGGACGGGUGAGUAACGCGUAAAGAACUUGCCUCACAGAUAGGGACAACAUUUGGAAACGAAUGCUAAUACCUGAUAUUAUGAUUAUAUGGCAUCGUAUAAUUAUGAAAGCUAUAUGCGCCGUGAGAGAGCUUUGCGUCCCAUUAGCUAGUUGGAGAGGUAACGGCUCACCAAGGCGAUGAUGGGUAGCCGGCCUGGGAGGGUGAUCGGCCACAAGGGGACUGAGACACGGCCCUUACGCCUACGGGAGGCAGCAGUGGGGAAUAUAGGAAAAUGGACCAAGAGUGUGAUCCAGCAAUUCUGUGUGCACGAUGAAGUUUUUCGGAAUGUAAAGUGCUUUCAGUUGGGAAGAAAAAAAUGACGGUACCAACAGAAGAAGUGACGGCUAAAUACGUG